ACGAAGGGGACUAGCGUUGUUCGGAAUUACUGGGCGUAAAGCGCACGUAGGCGGAUUUGUUAGUCAGGGGUGAAAUCCCGGGGCUCAACCUCGGAACUGCCUUUGAUACUGCAAGUCUCGAGUCCGAUAGAGGUGGGUGGAAUUCCUAGUGUAGAGGUGAAAUUCGUAGAUAUUAGGAAGAACACCGGUGGCGAAGGCGGCCCACUGGAUCGGUACUGACGCUGAGGUGCGAAAGCGUGGGGAGCAAACAGG
rnacentral:rRNA from 1 species